AAGCGUUAUCCGGAUUUAUUGGGCGUAAAGCGAGCGCAGGCGGUUAUUUAAGUCUGAAGUGAAAGCCUUCAGCUCAACUGAGGAAUGGCUUUGGAAACUGGAUGACUUGAGUGCAGUAGAGGACAGUGGAACUCCAUGUGUAGCGGUGAAAUGCGUAGAUAUAUGGAAGAACACCAGUGGCGAAGGCGGCUGUCUGGACUGUAACUGACGUUGAGGCUCGAAAGCGUGGGUAGCAAACAGGAUUAGAUACCCUGGUAGUCCACACCGUAAACGAUGAGUGCUAGAUGUUGGAGGGUUUCCGCCCUUGAGUGUCGCAGCUAACGCAUUAAGCACUCCGCCUGGGGAGUACGACCGCAAGGUUGAAACUCAAAGGAAUUGACGGGGACCCGCACAAGCGGUGGAGCAUGUGGUUUAAUUCGAAGCUACGCGAAGAACCUUACCAGGUCUUGACAUCCCUUGCUAAUCCUAGAAAUAGGACGUUCCCUUCGGGGACAAGGUGACAGGUGGUGCAUGGUUGUCGUCAGCUCGUGUCGUGAGAUGUUGGGUUAAGUCCCGCAACGAGCGCAACCCUUAUUAUUAGUUGCCAGCAUUUAGUUGGGCACUCUAGUGAGACUGCCGGUGACAAACCGGAGGAAGGUGGGGAUGACGUCAAAUCAUCAUGCCCCUUAUGACCUGGGCUACACACGUGCUACAAUGGCAUAUACAACGAGUCGCCAACCCGCGAGGGUGCGCUAAUCUCUUAAAGCCUGUCUCAGUUCGGAUUGUAGGCUGCAACUCGCCUACAUGAAGUCGGAAUCGCUAGUAAUCGCGGAUCAGCACGCCGCGGUGAAUACGUUCCCGGGUCUUGUACACACCGCCCGUCACACCAUGAGAGUUUGUAACACC
rnacentral:rRNA from 1 species